GUUAACAACUUGUAACAAGCUUGAUGGCAUUAUCAGACUUGUUACAAGGUUGUUCUAAUAAGUUUGAUACAUUCAUAGGUUGUAACAAUAUUGUUAUAUAAUGACUGUAUCGGAUUUGUUGGAACAACCUUGCAACAAGUCUGAUAAUAUCAACAAGGUUGUUACAAGUUGUUAAC